GUUUUCCAAAUAAAUUUUAUUUACCAAUUAAUAAUUAUGAUCUUACAUCAUGAUACAAAAUACCCAAAUGAAACCAAACACAAUCUGCUUUAUUAGGUGUGUAUAAAUAUCUAACAAAUUGUUAGUAGUGAUAUGCUUUUGGCCAUACUUUGUAAAUUUUCUUUACAACAAAAGGAGGAAAAGGAUCUGCAUCAGGGGUUUGGUAUCAUUAGCAAAACAUUACAAUAAUACGAAAUAAAUGACAGUACUGAGGAUUCUAUUUAUUUUCCUGGUUUUUACAAUAUUGUUUUGAAUACUAAUUAGGGGGAGAUAAUCCUAAUGUAAUUUCCACUAAAAUAAGUAUUAUAUGAAUUAAAAUAAAAUCAUGUCUAAUUUUUG
rnacentral:lncRNA from 1 species